rnacentral:rRNA from 1 species
AGUGAACGCUGGCGGUAGGCCUAACACAUGCAAGUCGAACGGCAGCACAGUAAGAGCUUGCUCUUACGGGUGGCGAGUGGCGGACGGGUGAGGAAUACAUCGGAACCUACUUUUUCGUGGGGGAUAACGUAGGGAAACUUACGCUAAUACCGCAUACGACCUACGGGUGAAAGCAGGGGAUCUUCGGACCUUGCGCGAUUGAAUGAGCCGAUGUCGGAUUAGCUAGUUGGCGGGGUAAAGGCCCACCAAGGCGACGAUCCGUAGCUGGUCUGAGAGGAUGAUCAGCCACACUGGAACUGAGACACGGUCCAGACUCCUACGGGAGGCAGCAGUGGGGAAUAUUGGACCAUGGGCGCAAGCCUGAUCCAGCCAUACCGCGUGGGUGAAGAAGGCCUUCGGGUUGUAAAGCCCUUUUGUUGGGAAAGAAAAGCAGCAGGUUAAUACCCCGCUGUUCUGACGGUACCCAAAGAAUAAGCACCGGCUAACUUCGUG